AAAUUCUGGUCGUCCAUCGUCAACGGUUAGGUCCAUCUGUCCGUUGAUCCUCUCCAACGGUUAUCUGGCAAUGACUUCGGCCUCCAUAAGUUCUUUUUUAGGCAACUCUUUUAUUAAUCAUUUUUAUUUUAGGCUUCGAGAACGAGCUGUUCGUCUUUGUUUCCUAUGAAUUUCGUGUGCUACUCCACUUCCUGAUAGAAUUGAUUUCUGAAGUCGUGUGGAGUGGGGCGAUCGAUUGAUUUCUGGUUCAAGCUCAUUGAUGUUUUGCUGAUUCUAGUCAGAAGAGAUGAUACAUAAUUGCAAAUAUCUCCAAGAUCAGGAGAGGCUGGCGAGAUUUCGGCUAUGGACUUCUUCGUGAGUACAGUGGGUCCAUUGAAAGAACCUCCUCUCGUUACUGCCAAUACUGUUCUGUAUCAAGGAGAUUGCAGGUACAGUGUCGCCUAGGUGUGAGGUUCGUCUUCACCCGGAUUCGCAGGGUUGAGUAUACCUCUUUCGUCCUUAGAAUUUGGGUUAGGUGAUCGUAAAACCCUUAGUUUGCCUUAGUCAUCCUCAAGUGAGUGUCAUCUGUGGUCUGUCAGUUUCCCUUUUCAUUUGGGUUUGCGGGUCGGGUAUUUGGUUGGCUUUCUUGGGUUGCGUUCUUGGCAUGUGGUUAAAUUGAG